UUUGACCUCAAAUCAGGUAGGACUACCCGCUGAACUUAAGCAUAUCAAUAAGCGGAGGAAAAGAAACCAACAGGGAUUGCCUCAGUAGCGGCGAGUGAAGCGGCAAAAGCUCAAAUUUGAAAUCUGGCGUCUUUGGCGUCCGAGUUGUAAUUUGAAGAAGGUAUCUUUGGGCCCGGCUCUUGUCUAUGUUCCUUGGAACAGGACGUCACAGAGGGUGAGAAUCCCGUGCGAUGAGAUGACCCGGGUCUGUGUAAAGUUCCUUCGACGAGUCGAGUUGUUUGGGGAAUGCA
rnacentral:rRNA from 2 species